UGGGGAAUUUUGGACAAUGGACGCAAGUCUGAUCCAGCCAUGCCGCGUGCGGGAAGAAGGCCUUCGGGUUGUAAACCGCUUUUGUCAGGGAAGAAACGAGUUUCUCUAAUACAGAGACUUAAUGACGGUACCUGAAGAAUAAGCACCGGCUAACUACGUGCCAGCAGCCGCGGUAAUACGUAGGGUGCAAGCGUUAAUCGGAAUUACUGGGCGUAAAGCGUGCGCAGGCGGUUAUAUAAGACAGAUGUGAAAUCCCCGGGCUCAACCUGGGACCUGCAUUUGUGACUGUGUAGCUAGAGUACGGCAGAGGGGGAUGGAAUUCCGCGUGUAGCAGUGAAAUGCGUAGAUAUGCGGAGGAACACCGAUGGCGAAGGCAAUCCCCUGGACCUGUACUGACGCUCAUGCACGAAAGCGUGGGGAGCAAACA
rnacentral:rRNA from 1 species